rnacentral:rRNA from 1 species
CGAUUAGAGUUUGAUCCUGGCUCAGGACGAACGCUGGCGGCGUGCCUAACACAUGCAAGUCUGGGAGAACGAGGUAGCAAUAUCUUUAGUAAACCGGCGCACGGGUGAGUAAUCUGUAGGUAACCUGCCCUUUGGUCUGGGAUAACCCCGCGAAAGCGGUGCUAAUACCGGAUGAUGCAGCGGCUCCGCAUGGAGAUGUUGUUAAAGCCUUCGGGCGCCAAUGGAUGGGCCUGCAUCCCAUUAGGUAGUUGGUGAGGUAACGGCUCACCAAGCCUACGAUGGGUAGCUGAUCUGAGAGGAUGAUCAGCCACACUGGAACUGAGACACGGUCCAGACUCCUACGGGAGGCAGCAGUGAGGAAUAUUGCGCAAUGGACGAAAGUCUGACGCAGCGACGCCGCGUGAAGGAUGAAGGCCCUUUGGGUCGUAAACUUCUGUAGAGAGGGAAGAAUGUGGYGCUUCAGCA